GAUGAACGCUAGCGGCAGGCCUAACACAUGCAAGUCGAGGGAGAGGUUACCUUCGGGUAACCAAAACCGGCGCACGGGUGCGUAACGCGUAUACAAUCUGCCUUUCACAUAGGGAUAGCCCGAAGAAAUUUGGAUUAAUACCUAAUGGUAUAUAAGAGCGGCAUCGUUUUUAUAUUAAAGCUACGGUGGUGAAAGAUGAGUAUGCGUUCUAUUAGCUAGUUGGAGAGGUAACGGCUCCCCAAGGCGACGAUAGAUAGGGGUUCUGAGAGGGAUGUCCCCCACACUGGUACUGAGAUACGGACCAGACUCCUACGGGAGGCAGCAGUGAGGAAGAUUGGACAAUGGUCGGAAGACUGAUCCAGCCAUGCCGCGUGCAGGAGGAAGGUCCUAUGGAUUGUAAACUGCUUUUGUAAGGGAAGAAUAAGGAGUACGUGUACUUUGAUGACGGUACCUUACGAAUAAGCAUCGGCUAACUCCGUG
rnacentral:rRNA from 1 species